UCGAACCACGGGUCGGAACACUGUCAACGACCCACCAAAAUGUCGGAAAAAACUCAGAACACAACCAAUCACUCGAACCUCGCAAUUUGCAAAAGUCUAGUGCGUUACAGGUGGAAACUAGAUUUGGGGUACCGGAACUGUCCGAGUACUGGUACGUUGUUCUGUAGAAUGUAGAUUGUGAAGGAUGUUUUAGUAAAAUUAAGUAUAAAUAAAAAUAGCAUGAGAUACUAUUUUUAUUGACGUAGAAAAAGUAGAAGAUAAUUUAGAGAUGAUUUGUGGUGAAAUUGGAAUAGAAACAGAAGAUUUAGAAUUUUCUGUAAGAAGCGGGGCUGAUCUUUUAACAGAAAAUUCACAGUGUCAGAAAAUUAUGAAAACUUGGGAAUAUGUCGAAAUUAUUUUUAUGAGGCUAGAUUUAAAGUUUCAUGUCAUUCUGACACCCGGAAAGUGGAAAAUAA
rnacentral:lncRNA from 1 species